ACACACACAUACCAUGACAGACACACACCAUGACACAGACAGACCGUGACGCAAACAGAAACACACGCACACCAUGACAGACAGACACACCAUGACACAGACACACACACACACACCAUGACAGACACACACCUUAAAAAAGACACACACACCUUGACACACACAGAGAGACCAUGACACACACACCACGACACAGAGAGACCGUGACACAGACACAC